AACGAACGCUGGCGGCAUGCCUAACACAUGCAAGUCGAACGAGACCUUCGGGUCUAGGGGCGCACGGGGGCGUAACGCGUGGGAACCGGCCCGGAGGUGCGGAAUAACGCCCCGAAAGGGGUGCUAAUACCGGAUAAUGUCUUCGGACCAAAGAUUUAUCGCCUUUGGAUGGGCCCGCGUUGGAUUAGCUAGUUGGUAGGGUAAAAGCCUACCAAGGCGACGAUCCAUAGCUGGUCUGAGAGGAUGAUCAGCCACACUGGGACUGAGACACGGCCCAGACUCCUACGGGAGGCCGCAGUGGGGAAUAUUGGACAAUGGGCGAAAGCCUGAUCCAGCAAUGCCGCGUGAGUGAUGAAGGCCUUAGGGUUGUAAAGCUCUUUUACCCGGGAUGAUAAUGACAGUACCGGGAGAAUAAGCUCCGGCUAACUCCGUG
rnacentral:rRNA from 1 species